rnacentral:rRNA from 1 species
CGAUGCGCAGCUUACACAUGCAAGUCGAGCGCACUCUUCGGAGUGAGCGGCGGACGGGUUAGUAACGCGUGGGAACGUGCCCUUCUCUAAGGAAUAGCCACUGGAAACGGUGAGUAAUACCUUAUACGCCCUUCGGGGGAAAGAUUUAUCGGAGAAGGAUCGGCCCGCGUUAGAUUAGAUAGUUGGUGGGGUAAUGGCCUACCAAGUCUACGAUCUAUAGCUGGUUUUAGAGGAUGAUCAGCAACACUGGGACUGAGACACGGCCCAGACUCCUACGGGAGGCAGCAGUGGGGAAUCUUGGACAAUGGGCGCAAGCCUGAUCCAGCCAUGCCGCGUGAGUGAUGAAGGCCUUAGGGUCGUAAAGCUCUUUCGCCAGAGAUGAUAAUGACAGUAUCUGGUAAAGAAACCCCGGCUAACUCCGUGCCAGCAGCCGCGGUAAUACGGAGGGGGUUAGCGUUGUUCGGAAUUACUGGGCGUAAAGCGCACGUAGGCGGAUCAGAAAGUAUAGGGUGAAAUCCCAGGGCUCAACCCUGGAACUGCCUUGUAAACUCCUGGUCUUGAGUUCGAGAGAGGUGAGUGGAAUUCCGAGUGUAGAGGUGAAAUUCGUAGAUAUUCGGAGGAACACCAGUGGCGAAGGCGGCUCACUGGCUCGAUACUGACGCUGAGGUGCGAAAGUGUGGGGAGCAAACAGGAUUAGAUACCCUGGUAGU